rnacentral:rRNA from 1 species
GAUGAACGCUGGCGGCGUGCCUAAUACAUGCAAGUCGAGCGAACGGACGAGAAGCUUGCUUCUCUGAUGUUAGCGGCGGACGGGUGAGUAACACGUGGAUAACCUACCUAUAAGACUGGGAUAACUUCGGGAAACCGGAGCUAAUACCGGAUGAUAUUUUGAACCGCAUGGUUCAAAAGUGAAAGACGGUCUUGCUGUCACUUAUAGAUGGAUCCGCGCUGCAUUAGCUAGUUGGUAAGGUAACGGCUUACCAAGGCAACGAUGCAUAGCCGACCUGAGAGGGUGAUCGGCCACACUGGAACUGAGACACGGUCCAGACUCCUACGGGAGGCAGCAGUAGGGAAUCUUACGCAAUGGCGAAAGCCUGACGGAGCAACGCCGCGUGAGUGAUGAAGGUCUUCGGAUCGUAAAACUCUGUUAUUAGGGAAGAACAUAUGUGUAAGUAACUGUGCACAUCUUGACGGUACCUAAUCAGAAAGCCACGGCUAACUACGUG